rnacentral:lncRNA from 1 species
AGGAGAUAUAACUGGAUUUUGCAAUUCUAGAUCCCUCAAAAGCAAAGACUCUCAGAAGGACCAGAAGAAAGGACUAAAAAUUCUUGGACAACCCUGAAACCCAUGGAGUGGCAGAGAUGAGGAACCUCUUUGGAACAAGCAGGCCGCAAUGAUCUUAACACAAUUCCGGGUCAUCUCACAGUCAACUUCUCCAAAUAACAGCAGGUGCAGCGGCUCUCCAGGGCAGACCCCUCCAAGUCGGUGACGUGUGGAUCGGCAUGGCUGCUAGCAUCACAGGGCUACACUGCCCAGAGCAUCGCCACCAUCCACACCGGGCAGGAAGAAGAAAAGGAAAAGGGAUUUGGUGAAAACAAAGCAUGGUUUCUGGUGCACAAGGCAACGGUAAUUUAGGAUGUAUGUGCAUUUAUGAAUUUA